UACGAAGGGGGCUAGCGUUGCUCGGAAUUACUGGGCGUAAAGCGUGCGCAGGCGGUUGUGCAAGACAGAUGUGAAAUCCCCGGGCUUAACCUGGGAACUGCAUUUGUGACUGCAUGGCUGGAGUGCGGCAGAGGGGGAUGGAAUUCCGCGUGUAGCAGUGAAAUGCGUAGAUAUGCGGAGGAACACCGAUGGCGAAGGCAAUCCCCUGGGCCUGCACUGACGCUCAUGCACGAAAGCGUGGGGAGCAAACAGG
rnacentral:rRNA from 1 species